UACGUAGGGUGCGAGCGUUAAUCGGAAUUACUGGGCGUAAAGCGUGCGCAGGCGGUUAUGUAAGACAGUUGUGAAAUCCCCGGGCUCAACCUGGGAACUGCAUUCGUGACUGUAGAGCUGGAGUGCGGCAGAGGGGGAUGGAAUUCCGCGUGUAGCAGUGAAAUGCGUAGAUAUCGGUAGGAACACCAGUGGCGAAGGCGGUCUCUUGGGGCAUUCUUGACGCUGAGACGCGAAAGCGUGGGGAGCAAACAGG
rnacentral:rRNA from 1 species